AUUGAACGCUGGCGGCAUGCCUUACACAUGCAAGUCGAACGGCAGCACGGGAGCAAUCCUGGUGGCGAGUGGCGAACGGGCGAGUAAUACAUCGGAACGUGCCCAAUCGUGGGGGAUAACGCAGCGAAAGCUGUGCUAAUACCGCAUACGAUCUACGGAGGAAAGCAGGGGACCGCAAGGCCUUGCGCGAAUGGAGCGGCCGAUGGCAGAUUAGGUAGUUGGUGGGGGAAAGGCUCACCAAGCCAACGAUCUGUAGCUGGUCUGAGAGGACGACCAGCCACACUGGGACUGAGACACGGCCCAGACUCCUACGGGAGGCAGCAGUGGGGAAUUUUGGACAAUGGGCGCAAGCCUGAUCCAGCCGUGCCGCGUGCAGGAUGAAGGCCUUCGGGUUGUAAACUGCUUUUGUACGGAACGAAACGGCCUUUUCUAAUAAAGAGGGCUAAUGACGGUACCGUAAGAAUAAGCACCGGCUAACUACGUG
rnacentral:rRNA from 1 species